GUUACAACGAAAAUAACCCUUUUGGGCGCCCCUAUAGGGCUGCCUAUAUACUCAGGGAGAAAGAAGGCUUGGAAGCUGUACCUUUUGUAUCAGGGGGACACAAAAGUAAAGGGAACAGGGAUUCGAAUUAGGCGGAUCUUCUUUGGCUAGCUGGUAAUUGUAUUUAAUGGGUGAAGCUGUAUAAGAGGUGAAAAGUAUACGGCGCCUAUGAUAUCUAGUUGUUUUGGUCCAUGCCGUGGAGAGGCGGCAUAAGGUUUACGGAUGGAGUAAAUAAGGGAAACUAGGCUUUAAAGCAGCCGGGUUGGUAUGGUGUUUUAACUAACUUUAGGGUGCACCCUAGCACUAAAAUUAAUUAUAACUAGUAAAAAUAUUAGUACUAAUAAAUAAUGGGUUUAUUGAAUAAUAAUGGGGCUAAAAAAUAACUCAGACUAAGUUAGAAAGUUUAACAAAAACAUUUCUAUUUGGUGUAGUAAAAGUAAAGCCUGCCCGGUGUGUAUUAACGGCCGCAGUAUAUUGACUGUGCUAAGGUAGCAUAAUCAUUUGUUAUUUAAUUGGUAACUGGAAUGAAGGGUAAAACUAACUUAAAUUUGGUUUGUGUAGUUUAAAAGGAAAUUUAAGUUAAGAUAAUAAUUUCUUAAUUCUCUGGGGGACGAUAAGACCCUAUAAGCUUAACAAAAGGGUACUUAUUAGUUGUAAGAUACGUGUUGUUUUACUGGGGCGGUACUAGAGCGUGAACUUCUAGGAGUGUAGUGGAUCCUUAAAAUAAAGAUUAAAUGGGUAAGUUACUUUAGGGAUAACAGUGUAAUAUAUUUGGAGAGACCUUAUUGAUAAAUAUGAUUGCAACCUCGAUGUU
rnacentral:rRNA from 1 species